GCGCCUUUUUAGAUAAAGCAUUAUAUCGGAUGUGGGUUAUAACAAAUCAUCAUUUAACUUUGAUUGUGAUUGUCGUUGUGAUUAAUAACUGACCUUGCAUGCAAUCGUAAAAGAAUUAAUUGCAGCCAAACCGUUCAGAGUUCACGAAAGAACAGGGGUAGCGCUGGCGGGUAUUUCCUUGUCGGACGAAACAUGAACUGGAUUCCGGUCGGAGCGCCGUUGUAUGCCAGCAACAUCGGCAGCCUCCACUUCGUCGGCAUGGUCGGCUCUGGGGCAGCCGCCGGCAUAGCCAUUUACCUGUAUGAGCUGAACGUAAGUACGAGUGUACUCAACGUGAUAACAGUGUGAUAAGAUGGAGUGAAGAAACGCCGCUCUUGCUCGCAGACUGAUCGUGAGUUUCUUUGAAUAUUCUUGCAAACCUAGGUUGAAUGCAAAUCAGAAACGCCACUCUCCGCUUUCAUGGUAUUCUUCGUUGAAAGGAAAUUACUUCCGCCGGCAUCGUCAUAUACCUGUUUGAGCUGAAUGUUAGUCACCAUAUAACUGUAUGAGUUGAACGUACGUAGCCAUAUACCUUUAUGAGCUGAACGUAAGUCACCAUAUACCUUUAUGAGCUGAACAUAAGUCGCCAUAUACCUGUAUGAGUCUACUUCUACCUCUACUUCAUUUCUUCCUACAGUAAAUUGCUGACUAUGACAGGAAUGCGACUGUCUGGGGACAGCGAAAUGUUAAAAUCACGUGUUAAGAAACAAAAUAUAUACAGUAUGUACAUAAAAGUGAUGUUAAGUGACAUACGAAAUCACAUGGUGACGAGUGAUGUCAAAGAUUUUACAUUGACUGAAAAUAAAAGUAUAAAAACAAGAUACUAAUAUUUAUUUCGAGACAAUUGCCAAGCCUGCAUAAAACUGACUGAGGCUGGUACUGCUCUUAACGUUGUUUGGGAGGCCAUUCCAAUACCUGAUUGUCCUUGGUAAAAAAUAGUUUUCAUGAUAUGUAGUUCUAGAGAAGGGUACUACAAAAUUAGGAUUUCUUGUUAUUGUAAGAUGUUGGUGGUCUACAUAGAUAAGAUGAUUUUCAAUUUUAUAGAGUAGUGUCAAGGAUGUGUUUAUUCUUCUUUGUUCUUUUUUGCCAAUUUAGUGUCUUUAACAUCUGAGAAACGCUACUGGUGUAGUGGUAGUCGUUAAACACAUAACGGGCUGCUGAUCUUUGCACUCUCUCUACUUGAUAAGUUAAGUUUUUCUGCCAUGGAUGCCAAAUUGAAGAACAAUAUUCCA